CUGCGCCACAAGUGGCAAUCACGGUUAUUGGGCCUAAAGCGUCCGUAGCCGGUUUAGCAAAUCUUUUGUGAAAUCGUCAGGCUUAACUUGACGAAUUGCAGAAGACACUACUAAACUAGGGACUGGGAGGAGUCAGAAGUAUUCUGGGGGGACCGGUAAAAUGGUAUAAUCCCCAGAGGACUACCGAUGGCGAAGGCAUCUGACCAGAACAGAUCCGACGGUGAGGGACGAAAGCCAGGGGAGCAAACCGGAUUAGAUACCCGAGUAGUCC
rnacentral:rRNA from 1 species